AGAGCUCCACGUCCCGCCCCUUUCACAGUGAAGCUUUUGUAACACAACUUUGGUAUUACCGGAAAUAACGCUGAGGACCAUCGAAACUCGACGCAGGAGAAUUUCUCACCAAAGAAUUAAAAUAAGGACGAAGAACCAUGGUCUGAUUGAUAAUAAAAGCUAGCUCCUAUGUGGUCCGGAAGAUAAGGGCUUCCAUCGCUGCUGGAGAGCAGCUGGAGAAGCCCAAAAUCACACCACGUAGAGCUAGUGCUGAAAUGAAAGCGGAGGAUGGGUUGGGCGGAGGCGCCCCGUUUGUGGCUCUGAUUCCAGCUCCGAAAGAUGUCAGCGGGGCGCAGGGCUCGAGGGGCCCCUCAAAGACAGCUGGGCAGAAUUGUGGCUCCUGACGUUAAAGACCCUGGACACUGGAGACGGUCACUGCAAUAGGAAAAUAGAAUUCCUCAUCUUUGUAUACAGUAUUUACUUUGAAUGACGCAGAAAAUUCUCAGUACACACAGAAUCAUUUAGAUGCAACGGUCAACUUUAAGUUGUUCAAACUAAAAUCUUCCAAACAAACUCAUCAAGACCCUAAUGUCACUGUUUUCCUGUGUCCAUGCUGCUCCCAGGGGACAACGUCUAGCUCUUACCGACACAUAUUCACGCCCAGCUUUCACUUUCCGGAAGAAAAAGACGAAUAACACUAUUGUUGACUCGUUUGCCUUUGAUGGGCCACACGGCACCUGAAUGUAAUGGACACAUCCGUGUUAUUAAAUGUAUGUGGUACUGCAGUGUUUGAAGGCAGGCUCACCAACCUCCUUCUGGGGGCCGAGCUCGCCUGAUGUUUCUGUUGCUGUAUCAAUAAAUACAUAAUAAUAUAAGAGCGUUGCUACAUGGCUGAUG